UACGGAGGGUGCAAGCGUGUCCGGAAUCACUGGGCGUAAAGGGCGCGUAGGCGGCUCAUGAAGGCUGUGGUGAAAGUCCGGGGCUCAACCUCGGAUCGGCCGUGGCGACUCGUGGGCUGGAGCACUGUAGAGGCGGGUGGAAUUCCGGGUGUAGCGGUGGAAUGCGUAGAGAUCCGGAAGAACACCAGUGGCGAAGGCGCC
rnacentral:rRNA from 1 species